CGGAGCUUGCUCCACCGGAAAAAGAAGAGUGGCGAACGGGUGAGUAACACGUGGGUAACCUGCCCAUCAGAAGGGGAUAACACUUGGAAACAGGUGCUAAUACCGUAUAACAAUCGAAACCGCAUGGUUUUGAUUUGAAAGGCGCUUUCGGGUGUCGCUGAUGGAUGGACCCGCGGUGCAUUAGCUAGUUGGUGAGGUAACGGCUCACCAAGGCCACGAUGCAUAGCCGACCUGAGAGGGUGAUCGGCCACAUUGGGACUGAGACACGGCCCAAACUCCUACGGGAGGCAGCAGUAGGGAAUCUUCGGCAAUGGACGAAAGUCUGACCGAGCAACGCCGCGUGAGUGAAGAAGGUUUUCGGAUCGUAAAACUCUGUUGUUAGAGAAGAACAAGGAUGAGAGUAACUGUUCAUCCCUUGACGGUAUCUAACCAGAAAGCCACGGCUAACUACGUGCCAGCAGCCGCGGUAAUACGUAGGUGGCAAGCGUUGUCCGGAUUUAUUGGGCGUAAAGCGAGCGCAGGCGGUUUCUUAAGUCUGAUGUGAAAGCCCCCGGCUCAACCGGGGAGGGUCAUUGGAAACUGGGAGACUUGAGUGCAGAAGAGGAGAGUGGAAUUCCAUGUGUAGCGGUGAAAUGCGUAGAUAUAUGGAGGAACACCAGUGGCGAAGGCGGCUCUCUGGUCUGUAACUGACGCUGAGGCUCGAAAGCGUGGGGAGCAAACAGGAUUAGAUACCCUGGUAGUCCACGCCGUAAACGAUGAGUGCUAAGUGUUGGAGGGUUUCCGCCCUUCAGUGCUGCAGCUAACGCAUUAAGCACUCCGCCUGGGGAGUACGACCGCAAGGUUGAAACUCAAAGGAAUUGACGGGGGCCCGCACAAGCGGUGGAGCAUGUGGUUUAAUUCGAAGCAACGCGAAGAACCUUACCAGGUCUUGACAUCCUUUGACCACUCUAGAGAUAGAGCUUCCCCUUCGGGGGCAAAGUGACAGGUGGUGCAUGGUUGUCGUCAGCUCGUGUCGUGAGAUGUUGGGUUAAGUCCCGCAACGAGCGCAACCCUUAUUGUUAGUUGCCAUCAUUUAGUUGGGCACUCUAGCAAGACUGCCGGUGACAAACCGGAGGAAGGUGGGGAUGACGUCAAAUCAUCAUGCCCCUUAUGACCUGGGCUACACACGUGCUACAAUGGGAAGUACAACGAGUCGCGAAGUCGCGAGGCUAAGCUAAUCUCUUAAAGCUUCUCUCAGUUCGGAUUGUAGGCUGCAACUCGCCUACAUGAAGCCGGAAUCGCUAGUAAUCGCGGAUCAGCACGCCGCGGUGAAUACGUUCCCGGGCCUUGUACACACCGCCCGUCACACCACGAGAGUUUUAACACCCGAAGUCGGUGAGGUAACCUUU
rnacentral:rRNA from 1 species